CAAUCUCUUUGAACAGUCAACUGUUAAAUGUAACUUUUGUCCCCUUUAAUCUCUCCUUUUUAAAACGAUGUGAUCAAAGGGAUUCAUCUAAAAGGUAAUGAGACUAUGGGUUUGGUGGGUUGUUUACUAGGAACCAUUGGCUUCGGUAUUGGAGUUCUCAUUGGUUUGUUCGUUGGCUUUCUCUUAUUCAUUUACAACGAGCCUGCAGACGUAAAGGAUCCAAUAAUCUGACCACUUCAUGAUUUGGAUACCAUCUCUCUGCUUGAUAUUUUGCCUGAGAUUCCUUUAUGGACGAAGCAUCCUGAUUAUGAUCGAGUUGGAACACAUGACAAGUUGGGAAUGCAAAUAGUUCCACUAAGAUUGCUCACUCCUCAUAAAACACAAGAAUCGUCAUUUAAUUUAGUCAAGAACACAAACCCUAAUGACUCUCAAAACAAGAAGCGAAGAGGAUAGCUAGUGGUGCAGAUGACAUUUAAUCCUUUCAAAGAGGAUAAUGAAAGAUUUAGUGGUCCUUUAGAAAGAUAUGCAAGUAACGAAAGUGAUGUCAGUAGGCUACCCAUACCUGAUGGGUCCAUUUGUGGAGCCCGUUUUCUUUCUGUUAUGAUUCAAAGAGCUGAAGAUGUUGAAGGAAAGUAUCAUCACAACCCUUAUGCUUUGAUUAUUUUCAAAGAAAAAAGAAGAAAACCAAAGUGAAAAUCUAGUUCCCUUUUUUGACAUUUUAUCUCAAAGCAUUAAUUGCCAAAUUCCUUUUUACUGUUUUACAUGGACAUGGGAAUAUGGGGCAUUAUACCCUGUUGUAGCAAUCAUAAUAUUGUUGAAAAACAAAUCUUUUCAUUUCCUAUAAACUUUUUAGCAUUCAGCUUAUAAUUUAAUUCGUUAUCCACGCUUAUAUUAUGUUACGUUUUUCAUUUAACUGAUCAAGAAAAUAAAAAAUUCAUAUUGAAACGAAAAAUUUUAAUUUAUGUUAGAAGAGACACUUUUAAAAAAUAUGAUCUAUAUCGAUUAUAUUUUAAUCACUUUCGACAGAAAGUUUAGAUAUCAUGUCACUUUCUUUUUUUGUAACUUCAAUUUUUUUAUUUUUUUAAAAAAUAUGUGUAUCUUAUAUUAUUAUGUUGUGUUUGAUACAUAUUUGAACGUGGGUACGAGGGUACAAUCCUCUAAAUAUUGAGAGAAUUUUUUUCUCCUACUUGUAAUGAAAUAUGCAGUCUCUGAUCUUCCUGUGGUCUUUUUCUAGGAAUCACUGGGGCAUGUAGAUAUCAAUCUUAUGAUGUAAUUUUCAAUGGACACAUCAACGAGAAGUAUGGUGUGAUAUGCAUUGGUAUAUGAUGGGAACUGCCUUGAGAAGAAUCAAAUUAUAGCAAGAGAUUUAUAUGAUAAAUGCAACAACGUUGAGGAAAUAAAAAAUACGGUGAUGUUUAGCGGGGCUGUUGUUGGUGUUCAUCUUUUCUCUAUAGUUUCCACUUCAAACUUAGCUUUGGAACUUUUUUUAUAAAUCCACAACUAUUUUCAUUUGUUUUACCGUCUAAGAUUAAUUUUAUUUGGGUAAAAAUAA